rnacentral:rRNA from 1 species
UACGGAGGGGACUAGCGUUGUUCGGAAUUACUGGGCGUAAAGCGCACGUAGGCGGAUUUGUAAGUCAGGGGUGAAAUCCCGGGGCUCAACCUCGGAACUGCCUUUGAUACUGCAAAUCUCGAGUCCGGAAGAGGUGAGUGGAAUUCCUAGUGUAGAGGUGAAAUUCGUAGAUAUUAGGAAGAACACCAGUGGCGAAGGCGCUCACUGGUCCGGUACUGACGCUGAGGUGCGAAAGCGUGGGGAGCAAACAGGAUUAGAAACCCGGGUGAGC